CAUGCCGGCUUGGUCAUCCUCAGCAGCUGAUUCCCGGUAAAGCCGGGGAUGCAACACUGUCUGAAGCUUUGUUGUGCUGCUGUGGUUCUGAGGGCCCGGUAAGUAGUUUUAAAGAAUAUUAUCGUAGUGUUUCUCUCUUGCGGGUGAAGGAAUUGAGACUGAGAGAGGAGAAGGGCUCUAGCCUUGAAGUCGGGGCUGGGGCAAGAGUGGGACGCAUUUAGCAGGAAGGAAAGACACUAUCCCUACCGUUCUAGGCACAGAGGGACGGGGGAGACAGGCAAAUGAGAUCAUCAGGACAGUAAGAGCAGUCAGUGUCUAAAUCCCAAGAAUCUCUAUGUACUGCAAGAGCUCUGUGUGGUAGCAGAUUGUAGAAUCUGCAGGGCUCGGGAUUGGCCUACCUUUUUUCUCUGGGGAGCCGGUUAGUUGAGGAAGAUCUACAUGUCUUCGGCAAGGCCAAAGGAGAGGUCCAACUUGGGCCAAAUGCCUUGAUUUAGAAUUCAAUCCCGGGGCUCCUCUGCUUCCAUCGGUGCGGAGCUGUUCCGGGCGGACAGGCGGUGCUCCGGAGCAGGAGCGGCCAUCACCUCGCAAAGCCGACGAGCGCUUCCCGGAACGUGAGCUGACCCCGUGGGGAUUCCAACCUGAAAAUCCCGUCUGCAACUGGAGAAUACCAAAGGCUAAAACUAGGAUCGUGGAAAUGGAAGCGUCGGCUCUCGUCGGAGCGCGAGUGGAACCAGACAAAGGCGACCAACCCACUGCCGGAGUAAAAGGAGGAAAGGGCAGGCGGCCCGAAGGAAACCACGCCCACACACAUCGCACCCUUUGAAACUCAACCGACCUUGGACCCUUAACCGUUUUCUCUCCUGUUACCGGGUUCCAUUAAACAUCUGCUCCUACUUUA